UACAGAGGGUGCAAGCGUUAAUCGGAAUUACUGGGCGUAAAGCGCGCGUAGGUGGUUGGGUAAGUCGGUUGUGAAAUCCCCGGGCUUAACCUGGGAAUUGCAUUCGAUACUGCUCAGCUGGAGUGUGGAAGAGGGAAGCGGAAUUUCCGGUGUAGCGGUGAAAUGCGUAGAUAUCGGAAGGAACACCAGUGGCGAAGGCGGCUUCCUGGUCCAACACUGACACUGAGGCGCGAAAGCGUGGGGAGCGAACAGG
rnacentral:rRNA from 1 species